rnacentral:rRNA from 1 species
GAUGAACGCUGGCUACAGGCUUAACACAUGCAAGUCGAGGGGAAACGACGGGGAAGCUUGCUUCCCCGGGCGUCGACCGGCGCACGGGUGAGUAACGCGUAUCCAACCUGCCUCUGACUGAGGGAUAACCCGUCGAAAGUCGGCCUAAUACCUCAUGGUAUCGUCUGCGGGCAUCCAACGACGAUUAAAGAUUUCAUCGGUCAGGGAUGGGGAUGCGUCUGAUUAGCUUGCUGGCGGGGUAACGGCCCACCAAGGCUACGAUCAGUAGGGGUUCUGAGAGGAAGGUCCCCCACAUUGGAACUGAGACACGGUCCAAACUCCUACGGGAGGCAGCAGUGAGGAAUAUUGGUCAAUGGGCGAGAGCCUGAACCAGCCAAGUAGCGUGCAGGAAGACGGCCCUAUGGGUUGUAAACUGCUUUUAUGCGGGGAUAAAGUGAGGGACGUGUCCCUCAUUGCAGGUACCGCAUGAAUAAGGACCGGCUAAUUCCGUG